AUUUAAAUAGUUUAUAAAAAAUAAUGGGUUGUGGACUCAAAGAAAUUUAAUGUUUUAAAUA
rnacentral:tRNA from 1 species